AGGGAAUAUUGGACAAUGGGCGCAAGCCUGAUCCAGCCAUCCCGCGUGAAGGAUGAAGGUCCUAUGGAUUGUAAACUUCUUUUCUCUGGGAAGAAAAAGCUCGAUUUAUCGAGCCCUGACGGUACCAGAGGAAUAAGCACCGGCUAACUCCGUGCCAGCAGCCGCGGUAAUACGGAGGGUGCAAGCGUUAUCCGGAUUCACUGGGUUUAAAGGGUGCGUAGGUGGCUUUGUAAGUCAGUGGUGAAAGCCCGGGGCUCAACUCCGGAACUGCCAUUGAUACUGCUUAGCUUGAAUCAGGUCGAGGUGGUUGGAAUAUUACAUGUAGCGGUGAAAUGCUUAGAGAUGUAAUAGAACACCCAUUGCGAAGGCAGAUCACUAGGCCUGAAUUGACACUGAGGCACGAAAGCGUGGGGAUCAAAC
rnacentral:rRNA from 1 species